UCAGGAUAAACGCUGGCGGUAUACGUAACACAUGCAAGUCGAACGCAUCUCUUCGGGGAUGAGUGGCGGACGGGUGAGUAACGCGUGAGAAUCUGCCUUCAGGACUGGGACAACCACUGGAAACGGUGGCUAAUACCAGAUAUGCAGUGAGUGAAAAGGUUUAUUCCGCCUGAAGAUGAGCUCGCGUCAGAUUAGCUAGUUGGUGAGGUAACGGCUUACCAAGGCAUUGAUCUGUAGCUGGUCUGAGAGGAUGACCAGCCACACUGGGACUGAGAGACGGCCCAGACUCCUACGGGAGGCAGCAGUGAGGAAUUUUCCGCAAUGGGCGCAAGCCUGACGGAGUAAUACCGCGUGCGGGAGGAAGGUCUAUUGACUGUAAACCGCUUUUAUUAAGAAAGAAUUCUGACGGUACUUAAUGAAUAAGCCUCGGCUAACUCCGUGCCAGCAGCCGCGGUAAUACGGAGGAGGCAAGCGUUAUCCGGAAUUAUUGGGCGUAAAGCGUCCGUAGGUGGUUUUGCAAGUCGGCUGUCAAAGCCCGUGGCUCAACCACGGAAAGGCAGUGGAAACUACAAGACUGGAGUGCAGUAGGGGCAGAGGGAAUUC
rnacentral:rRNA from 1 species